UAUAACAUAGGUUAUACAGGAUAUGUAUAACUGCCAUUCAAAUCUCAUCACAGUACAAGCAUUAACUCAUUAAUCCUCAUCCACCUAAGAGGUGGCAUGAUUAUUAUUCUCACUUUAGACACAAGAAACUGAAGCACAGAGUAGUUAGGUAACUUGCCCAGGAUCGCAGCCAGAAGGGGCCAGACAGAGCUGGGAUGUGAAUCCCUGAAUCCAUCUCUAGUCCCUCUCCCAAACCUCUGUGCUUUCUGCCCCUGCCCUAUGCAGCCAGGUCCAGUGGAGGUAUGAUACCCAGACUGCUAGCCUCAACCAACACCUGAAACCAUUCGGGGAACCUGGGGCUGGAGGUUGGCAUAAGUCCUAGGGUGAGGGAGAGAGAGUCAGGGUUAUUGCUUCCUUGCAAUUUCCCCAGGGUUGGGCAUAGGAAACAGCAGAAACCUCACCACAGAGCCCCUGGGGUGACUGUUCAAUGUCCACCAAGCUGUGAGGCCAGCACAAGUUGGCCUUAGUGUACGACCCUCACUCCCAUUUCUUCCCCUCUACUCACCCCCCUUUUUUUCUUUGAUUAUGAUGUGGAAGGCUCCGUCAUUCACCAAUUCAUUCAGCAAACAUGUAACGGGCAUCUGCCAUGACAGAACUGUCUCCCCACUCAGAAGGCAAAGCCCUGUUAACCAUUAUAGUGUGAUGAGAGAAGUAAAUAUGUAUUACCCUAGUGAAAUAAUAUAUCGACCUGUUCACAGAUCUCGCCCUGUAUACACACACACACACACACACACACACACAUCUGAGUUGUUGAGCUUUCCCCUGAGCCAGAGAGAGACUUCUUGCUAACACUCGAGAAAGGCUUUGUCUUCACUGGAUAAAAAUUGUGACCAAUGAUUUUCUCCUGAAUUCAAUAACAUAAUG
rnacentral:lncRNA from 1 species